ACGCCGCGUGAACGAUGAAGGCCUUCGGGUCGUAAAGUUCUGUUGUCAGGGAAGAACAAGUACCGGAGUAACUGCCGGUACCUUGACGGUACCUGACCAGAAAGCCACGGCUAACUACGUGCCAGCAGCCGCGGUAAUACGUAGGUGGCAAGCGUUGUCCGGAAUUAUUGGGCGUAAAGCGCGCGCAGGCGGUUCCUUAAGUCUGAUGUGAAAGCCCCCGGCUCAACCGGGGAGGGUCAUUGGAAACUGGGGAACUUGAGUGCAGAAGAGGAGAGCGGAAUUCCACGUGUAGCGGUGAAAUGCGUAGAGAUGUGGAGGAACACCAGUGGCGAAGGCGGCUCUCUGGUCUGUAACUGACGCUGAGGCGCGAAAGCGUGGGGAGCGAACAGGAUUAGAUACCCUGGUAGUCCACGCCGUAAACGAUGAGUGCUAAGUGUUAGAGGGUUUCCGCCCUUUAGUGCUGCAGCAAA
rnacentral:rRNA from 1 species